UACGAAGGGGGCUAGCGUUGCUCGGAAUCACUGGGCGUAAAGCGCACGUAGGCGGAUUGUUAAGUCGGGGGUGAAAUCCUGGAGCUCAACUCCAGAACUGCCUUCGAUACUGGCGAUCUUGAGUCCGGGAGAGGUGAGUGGAACUCCGAGUGUAGAGGUGAAAUUCGUAGAUAUCGGGAGGAACACCAGUGGCGAAGGCGGCGAUCUGGGAAGAUACUGACGCUGAGGUGCGAAAGCGUGGGGAGCAAACAGG
rnacentral:rRNA from 1 species